AUGGUUAUCCCACUUACCCAUCUGCCCAGCACUGGUGGGUACAGGAGACCUCAGAACUGCUCAGAACUGGAGCAAGUGUCCAAAUACCUUGUAAGGUGUCCGUCCAAAGCUUUAAAACUGUAGUCAUAUACUGGUACCGGCAGAAACCAAAUCAAGGUUUAGAAUACCUAAUAUACAUUUCGACAACCCCUGCUCAAGGUCACUUAGGUGGGAAGACGAACAAACUCGAGGCAAGUAAAAAUUCUCGCACUUCCACUGCGACCUUGAAAAUAAGUUUUUUAGAGAAAGAAGAUGAGGCCACAUAUUACUGUGCCCGUUGGGAUGAGCACAGCAUUAGAAUUGCUGAAAUAACCUACACAAGAAACUCUGCAGUGGAGAUGUCCCCAGUGCCUGAGUCUCAGCAGACCUGCCUCUCACCUAACGUGCACAUAGGAGCACAG